AGUGAACGCUGGCGGUAGGCCUAACGCAUGCAAGUCGAACGGCAGCACAGUAAGAGCUUGCUCUUACGGGUGGCGAGUGGCGGACGGGUGAGGAAUACAUCGGAAUCUACUUUUUCGUGGGGGAUAACGUAGGGAGACUUACGCUAAUACCGCAUACGACCUACGGGUGAAAGCAGGGGAUCUUCGGACCUUGCGCGAUUGAAUGAGCCGAUGUCGGAUUAGCUAGUUGGCGGGGUAAAGGCCCACCAAGGCGACGAUCCGUAGCUGGUCUGAGAGGAUGAUCAGCCACACUGGAACUGAGACACGGUCCAGACUCCUACGGGAGGCAGCAGUGGGGAAUAUUGGACAAUGGGCGCAAGCCUGAUCCAGCCAUACCGCGUGGGUGAAGAAGGCCUUCGGGUUGUAAAGCCCUUUUGUUGGGAAAGAAAAGCAGCAGGUUAAUACCCCGCUGUUCUGACGGUACCCAAAGAAUAAGCACCGGCUAACUUCGUG
rnacentral:rRNA from 1 species